rnacentral:lncRNA from 1 species
UUUUUUUUUUUUUUUUUUUUUUUUUUUUUUUUUUUUUUGGAGCUGGGGACCGAACCCAGGGCCUUGAGCUCGCUAGGCAAGCGCUCUACCGCUGAGCUAAAUUCCCCAACCCCCUCCAUGCAGUUUUGAAGGAAACAUUUUAUCGUUUUUGGCAGAAGUAGGUAUAAUGGUUAAAUUAAACUUACUAAUACAGGGUGUCGCUAAAGUAUAAGAAGAGGCCCAAGCUAUGUGGGUAGAGGAGCUCCUCUCACCCAGGAGGAAUGGUCCUUUGGGCACGCUUGAGUUCUUCCAUUGCUUUCUCUGUUGGAUGCUGUCCUGUUAGGCUUUGCUGAAGUAGCGACUUUUGGACUCCCACAAAGAUUGCUGAUUCUCCCCUGGGAGCUUCUUGGACAUGGAACCCGCCUGCCAACCUGAGCAUCUGAGCCCUGGAACGUGAACACUGCCCUGCUACCAGCAAGACUGUCCGCCUCUCCACCAAUCCGUGGCCAAGGUCGUCAGCCGGUGUGGGGGUCUUGCUCUUUGUGGGUCACUGGUAUUCUUGUUAGGGAACUUAACCCACCCUGUGUGGUGUGCUCCGGACGGAGUUUUAAACUCUGGUUUCUUAGGACUUCACAACUGCAUAAUUGGGGGUUACUGGGUUUAUUGUUAUUUAAUGUGAGAGUGGAAAUCAAAGAGAGUAGGUUUUCUUGUUUUGUUUUGUUUUCAGAACAUUUCUCUUGUUGCCUUAAGGGUAGGGUUUUUUGGGUUCAAGAUAGAAUCAGGAAAAGUUAAAAUAAAAUGAAUAAAAGGUAGCCAAAUGAAAUAAUCCCUGGAAAGGGUUUUCUGGGUUUGUUUUAACCUAAGACUAACACUGCUUUUAGAGCACACAGUGCGAGUGAGGCCAUGACUGGUCCUCUGAAAAGAGACAUUGUCAAUAAGUGUUUGGUCUUAAAGGAGCCCAAAUUAUACAGAAUUUGUCGACAUGGCCUCACAGUAAUUCUUAAAUAAGUACAAUAAAGAUAAUUGAAAUGUGUACAAGGCUAGUUUUUGUGAAGUUGAAGUCUUUGGUU